rnacentral:lncRNA from 1 species
ACUUCAAUUUCUUUUACCCUUACAGUAUAACGCAUCCCAUGAGGAGUCCCAGAGUCUUCCUGGAGAAGUUCAGGGUCAAUGCUAGCAGAAUAAGGAGAUUUGUAGCAGUUGCCAUUUGUAGCGAUAGGCUUCUGGUGAAGGUCUGGGCGAGUCCCUGGUAGGGUGCCCCAGGCCUCUCUCGCAUUCUUCUCCUAUUGAGUAUUUUUAUUAACGACUUGGACGAGGACUCUGGCAACUUUCGGAUUCAAUCCGUGGAUGACGCGAAGCUGGGAGGUUAGAAUCAAUCAUCAAGAAGGUCAGCAAAGGCACCGCCUUGUCUCCGCCGCAGAGAGAGGAGGGAAGUGGAGGGGCAUCCUGAGAAGGCCACCUCUCACAUGGAGCUUUUGCUUUCUUUACCUUCCAGGAGGAGGGGGACCUGGCACUGUGUCGCCGAGGGACCUGCUGGCUGGUCAGCCCACCAAGCAGCGCCCUGGAGGGCAGGCCCAGGUCCUGGUCAUCUCCGCUGGCCUCAGGCUUGCCCUCCCUUCAGGGCUGAAUCCUGCUACACGAGAUGGAGGCUUGCCUCACCUGGACCAGCAGUUCAUCUGUUACCUGUCAGCCCACCCUCCCUCUCUCGCCUCACCCCACCCCCAGCUGCUCAGAAAAGGAGGGAUCAAGCCGGGUAAACGUCUUAUGCCUGUGAUCCCUGCGAUUCAGGAUUCUGAGGCAGGAGGAUGGCAAGUUCGAGACCAGCCUGGGUUUAGUGAGAUUCUGCCUCAAAAGCAAAUAAAAAGGGGUGGGGAAAACUGGGAUAGCAUGUGAGAGGCCAGGGUUCAAUUCCCAGAACCGUAAACAAUAAAUAAACAAUUUAAAAACUAGAAAACUAUAUC